UACGUAGGGUGCAAGCGUUGUCCGGAAUUAUUGGGCGUAAAGAGCUCGUAGGCGGUCUGUCGCGUCUGCUGUGAAAACUCAGGGCUUAACCCUGAGCUUGCAGUGGGUACGGGCAGACUAGAGUGCGGUAGGGGAGACUGGAAUUCCUGGUGUAGCGGUGAAAUGCGUAGAUAUCUGGAGGAACACCGGUGGCGAAGGCGACAUCCUGGACCGGUAUUGACGCUGAGGCGCGAAAGCCAGGGGAGCAAACGGG
rnacentral:rRNA from 1 species